UACAGAGGGGGCAAGCGUUAUUCGGAAUUAUUGGGCGUAAAGGGCGCGUAGGCGGCUUGGCAAGUGGAUGGUGAAAUCCCAGGGCUCAACCCUGGAACUGCCUUUGAUACUGACGAUCUGGAGAUCGGGAGAGGUUGGUGGAAUUCCGAGUGUAGAGGUGAAAUUCGUAGACAUUCGGAGGAACACCAGAAGCGAAGGCGGCCAACUGGCCCGAUACUGACGCUGAGGCGCGAAAGCGUGGGGAGCAAACAGG
rnacentral:rRNA from 1 species